rnacentral:rRNA from 1 species
UACGUAGGGGGCGAGCGUUGUCCGGAGUUAUUGGGCGUAAAGCGCACGCAGGCGGUCGAUCAAGUCUGGAGUGACAGUUCCCGGCUUACCCGGGAAAGGUCUUUGGAAACUGGUCGACUUGAGGAACUCAGAGGAAGACGGAAUUCCAGGUGGAGCGGUGAAAUGCGUAGAGAUCUGGAGGAACACCAAUGGCGAAGGCAGUCUUCUGGGAGUUAUCUGACGCUCAGGUGCGAAAGCCAGGGGAGCGAACGGG